GUAUGAUUCGCCUGUUUUGGUGCUCGCGGCCGGGUUCUCGGCUGCAGUUAAACGGGAAACACGCGUCGGCCGCCGGUCGACGACACAACGUGUGCUGCCCCCGCAACGGUAAAACAGGCGCCGCAUUCAUUGCGGCAGGUCGCCUCCGAGGUCCACUGUGCGUAUUGGCAUGGGAAGGCGUGGCGAUCGGUCCUGUUAGCCCGGAUACCGGCCAGGACGGAUGGAUGCAG
rnacentral:ncRNA from 2 species